rnacentral:lncRNA from 1 species
CGGCCCUCACAGUGUCGAAAAGCAAGAAAGACCCUAAAAAAGAAAAGAGCUGGAUGGCGGUGGCACUGCACACCUUUAAUCCCAACACUCAGGAGGCAGAGGCAGGUGGAUCUCCAUGAGUUUGCAAUGAUGGUGGUAUGUCAAAGGGCCACUUGGGGCAACCUGAACAAACCCUCAGUGGCCAAAGGUGGGACAAGAGGACCAGUGAGACAACCUAGUUCUGGAUUAGACCCAAGGAUAGACCAGCCAUGCACCUACUCUGAAACAAAGGACCAAGUAGGCAGGUAACAGGUUGAAAGAGACACAGUGUGUAAGCUCCAAAUAGCCUGUGCAAAUGUUCUCCCCUCAGACACCCACACCCGCCUCUCCACGGGUGCAGUGACUUCCCUCUAGGUCACUGUGUUGGGAGCAGAUUACAGCGGAGACCCCUGAUAAGUGCUGCCCUUGGCCAGGUGACCAAGCUGUACCAGAUAUGAUCUGUUUUGCUAAUUUAACAUGUAUGGGUGUUUUGCCUGCGUGUUUGUGCCCCAAGUG